CUUCUCGAGCUUUUGCUGCGCAUGCGCCCACGCUGCCGUCUCCGCUUGAGUUCGCUUGGCGGGGGGAACCCACCGCUCUGCGCGUGCGCAAAAUCUUCCUGCGCAUGCGGGAAAAGGGAAAGCGGAGAAUUCAGCGUGCGCGCUGUUCGAGGAACCGCGAAGGAUAUUGGACUUCGUUUUAUUGACUUGUCCUGCCUCAAAUGGGAAGGCUGAGUCGCUGUGCCUCCACAGAAAACGUACGUAUUGAGGCGGAGGAAAGCUGAGCUGUGAAACUCUUUGCCACAAGUAAAACACUGGCGAAGAAUGUAGCCCUUUCCAAAGGUUGAUUUGAUGAUGCUGAUGAUUAUUAUAAUCAUAAUUUAUUUAUAUCCCCCCCCCCCGAAUCUGGUUGGGUUGCCCCAGCCACUCUGAGCGGCUUACAACACACAUUAACAUAAUAAAACAUAAUAAUAAAACAAUAUAUACACACACAAAUAUAUACACAUAAUGGCAAUAUAUAUAUAUGUGAGUGUGUGUGUGUGUGUAUAUGUAUGUAUAUAUGUGUGUGUGUAUAUAUAAUUUUAUACUUGCAUAGAAAUAAUAAAAACCAAUUAUAAAAUAAUAAUAAAGCAUCAGACAUUAAUAUUAAUAAUUAAAUCCUAUGUUAAAAGUCACAAUACCUGUAAAAUAAACAAUGAUCAAGAUCAAAUAAAGCACUAUUUUAGGGCUGCCAUACAUCCUGAUUUUCCAGGAUAUGUCCUGGAAUUCGCCUCAGAAAAUGGUGUCCUGGAGUAUUUUUCAGCAAACGCCUUGGGAAACUGGCAACGGGGGUGAAAUCGUGCCAAAAAUGCCUACGUAAGACUCAAAAACUCUAGUAGCUUUUUCUAAGAAAAGCUCAACAACUUUGGGGUUUGUGUAGAAAAAGCUCAACAAUUUUGGUUUUCCUAAAAAAUAUAAAAAACAGUUUGGGGGGUUUUCUUAAAGAAGCUCAACUCUUGGGGUGUCCUGGUUUUUACUUCUUGAAAUAUGACAACCCUAAACAUUCAAUAAUCCAUUAGAAUCCAGUAGUAAACAGAAGCAUAGAAAGUGAUGUCAGUACUUGCCAGCUGAUUAUGCCAAACUGCCUGCAUCUGCCAUCAUUUUGUAACUAGAAAGUUCAAAAACUCCUGCUAUAAAGGCGAGUAUGUCCUGAAACAUCCCAGUAUUAAUUGCAACAGUGUAUUGUCCUGCAAACUUUACAGGUACUUAAUAUUAAAUGUAAGAGGCCUGGGUGGGUAAAUUCCCUCUGUCUUCCAUGUACAGUGGUACCUUCGGUUAUUAAUUUAAUUCGUUCCAGAGGUCCAUUCUUAACCCGAAACCGUUCUUAACCUGAGGCGUGCUUUCGCUAAUGGGGCCUCACGCCGCCGGCGCACAACUUCCGCUCACAUCCCGGGGCAAAGUUCAUUACCAGGAGCACCUACUUCCGGGUUAACGGAGCUUGUUACCCAAAGCGUUCGUAAGGAACCUGAGGUUCCACUGUACAUUUUGGGCAGGGCAGACGUUGUUUUCUGUCACCAUGCAAAUAGCAUGUGGCCUAAGCCAGCAGAGCUCCUGUGCUCAGAAACCAGGUAGCCCAAAUGCUUUCUAUUCUAAUAAAAUACAAUGAUGAUGCAUUUAUUGUUGGAAAACCAUGGAAGUCUCCAAAAGGUGAGAAAUAAAACUUGGCACAGGGUUACGAUGAUACACAGCAAACUCAAAGCACUGGAUUUUUCAUAUAGACCUCAAACGUAGUUCAGACUAGUGCAAAAGCAGCAGGUUGGUGAAUGUGAUGGUUCAUACACUUACGGAAAUAGUCUAACCACAGAGAUGUUUUUCUUUCUAUGCCGGAAACACCUGCUUAUAAAAGAAAAGAAAAAAACACGGUUCAGUCAAACUCUGUAGAGAAGAAACAGAAUAAUCCUCCUCCUGCAAAUUUCUUUAAAAUUAGAUUGAAUCUGCAUGGUUGAUUUCAACCAGAAUCCCCUAACUGAAAUGUUUCACACAUGGGGGAAACAGAAGCCAUCUUUUUCAUAGGCAAGCAUGUUUGUUGUUUCACAUGUAGCACAGUCCUUUAAAACUUGACUUAUUCCUAAAUAAGACUGCGAUGGGUAGACAAUGCAAAAACUUGCACUUAUGAGAGCAAUAAACACCCAUACACAAUAAGCAGUCAUAUGGAAGCAUCCAUCAUUAGAAAAUGCUGCUGCUGGUGCUGCUGCUGCUGUUGUUAGUCACCAGUCUGUUAACCAUCUGACUGGGUUACCCCAGCCACUCUGGGUAGCUCCCAACCAAAUAUUAAAAACACAGCAACGCAUCAACCAUUAAGAAUUUCCCUGUACUGCCUUCAGAUGUCUUCUAAAAGUCAUAAAGUUCUUUAUCUGUUUGACAUCUGAUGGGAGGGCGUUACACAGGGCGGGCGCCACUACCGUGAAGGCCCUCUGCCUGGUUCCCUAUAACUUCACUUCUCGCAGGGAGGGAACCACCAGAAGGCCCUCGGAGCUGGACCUCAGUGUCCGGGCUGAAUGAUGAAGGUGGAGACGCUGCUUCAGGUAUACUGGGCUGAGGGCAUUUAGAGCUUUAAAGGUCAGCACCAACACUUCAAAUUGUGCUCGGAAACAUAUUGGGAGCCAGUCUAGAUCCUUUGGGACCAGUGUUAUGGUCCCAGCGACUGCUCCCAGUCACCAGUCUAGCUGCCAGAUUCUGGAUUAGUUGUCGUUUCUGAGACACCUUCAAAGGUAGCUCCACAUAGAGCUCAUUGCAGUAGUCCAAGCGGGAGAUAACCAGAGCAUGUAUCACUCUGGUGAGAAAGUGCGCAGGCAGGUAGGGUCUCAGCCGGCGUACCAGGUGGAGCUGGUAGACUUCUGCCCUGGAUGCAGAAGUAACCCAUGAACAGCUGUGAGUCCAUAAUGACUCCCAAGCUGCGCACCUGGUCCCUUAGGGGCACGGUUGCCCCAUUCAUGACCAGGGAAUCCCUCAUACCUGCCUGCCCCCUGUCCCCCACAAAUGGUACCUCUGUUCUGUUUGGAUUCAACCUCAAUCCAUGAUCCACCAUCCAUCCUCCAACUGCAUCCAGACACUCACACAGGAUGUUCAACAUUCUCACUGGUUCUGAUUUAAACACGAGGUAAAGCUGGGUAUCAUCUGCAUACUGAUGAACACCCAGCCCAAACCCCCUGAUGAUCUCUCCCAGCAGCUGCAUGUAGAUGUUGAAAAGCAUGGAGAGGAGGAUGGAACCCUGAGGCACCCCACAAGUGAGAGCUCAGGGGUCCGAACAUCCAACCCCUGACAUCACCUUCUGGACACAGCCCAGGAGGAAGGAGCGGAACCACAGUAUAACAGUUCCCCUAGAUCCCCUAGACAGUCCCAACGAAAGAAGAACGGAUACAAAAACUUGCGGGACACACAGAAAUGGCAAAACUUAGCGGAGAAAUAAGAAAUCAAGAUAGCAAACUUUUUUUAAUAAAAGAAUGGAAAUGGUUUGUUGAAUAUUUACAAACAAACUGUAAACAGAUAAGAACAUUGGUGGGAUUAUUGUAAUAACCUGCAGUUUUAUAAGAGUAUACAUUUAAAGUAGAUGAAUAAAGGAUUAAGUUAAGUUAAUUUGGAAUAUACAGAAAAUCUAAAAAAUAAAUUUAAGGAACCGCAGAAAGAGCGGGAAGGAAGUCAAGUUUUGAAAUGUUAAAAGCAUUGUAAAAUUAUUGAAAUGUAUAAAAUUGAAAAUCUUAAAUAAAUAUUAAAAAGAAAAGAAGGAUGCCAUGGUUGAUGGUAUCAAAAGCCGCUGAUUUCCACCUCUGUCCCUAGCCUGCCAAAGAUCAUUGACCAGCACGACCAAGGUGGUUUCAGUCCCAUGAUGAGGCCGGAAUCCCAACCAAAAAGGAUCCAAAUGGUCCAGAUGUGCCUGGAAUUGUUCAGUGACCACCCUGCUCAUUCACCUUGCCUGGGAAUGGGAGAUUUGACACCCACUGGUGCCUUCCAGCCCACUGUUUGAGAAACACUCCUAUAAGUAAUUUUAGGUGGUUCACUUUUAUGGAAGUCACAUUGCUUAUUGGUUUAUGUCAAGUAUCCUACCCCUGCCCCAUCAGACAUAAAUUCUCAUCUUUAGGUGGUAGAAUAUAGUUUAUCUCCAAUUAUAAUCUCAAGGAUGGCUACAUUUGGCAUUCUUUGAUACAAACCAAUAUUAUAGGUCCAUUGGGAAAAAUCCAACAGCCACAGCAGGAUUUUGUUAGGGUCAACCAAAAUGUCAAAAUGAGAUGAGCAAUCUUUCAGAUUACUCAGAGCUUUAUCAAAACUCGGGAAGUGUGGGGGAGAGAGCAAGAUAGGCUUGAUGGAAAGCCCCUAAGUCAGUUUUAAGAGAGAAAGAGAAAGCAGAAGGAAUUGUGUUGACUUAGAAUAGCCUCUGCUAGGUGCUAAACUUAAAGUUUUGGGUUGUCACAUGCAUGCUUGCAGGCAAAUAGUCUUUGCCUUUAAUAGCUACAUAGCGGGCACAACCCAAUAGAUAGAGAUUUUCCUAUGCCUUCACUCAAACCAUGAUAAACGUCACCUAUUCUUCUUUUAAAAAAUGAAUUGAGUAUUCAACAUAAACUGCGUAAUAGGCAGAUUACUAUUAUUUUUAAAAAAGUUUUACCUAGGAAUUUCUGCCCGUGUUCUGCUUAUGCUGAAUGAGCAAUUCUUUAUGUAAAAAGUGGCAAUCCUUGCUAUAAUUUUUCUAGUAGAGCUCUUUUGAGAGAGGAUAAAAACCCUAAUUCACUAGUUUGUAGAAAUGCAGUAAUUGCAUUGUCUUAACUUGUUGAAUUUCUGUUUUGCAUUUGAUAAAAACCUGGGGACUGGGGAGCAGUCCUCAGAAAUUGCUAGACCUAGACGGCACAAUUGUCAUUCUGUUGUUUUGCACUUAAAAACUAGGUAAGAAUGAGAUAAUCUGCUUCUUUGAUUUUAUUACAGUACCUGCUGUUGCUGUUAAUAGUAAAGGUAAACGUACCCCUGCCCGUACGGGCCAGUCUUGCCAGACUCUAGGGUUGUGCGCUCAUCUCACUCUAUAGGCUGGGAGCCAGCGCUGUCCGCAGACACUUCCGGGUCACGUGGCCAGCAUGACAAGCUGCAUCUGGCGAGCCAGCGCAGCACACGGAACGCCGUUUACCUUCCCGCUAUUAAGCGGUCCCUAUUUAUCUACUUGCACCCGGGGGUGCUUUCGAACUGCUAGGUUGGCAGGCGCUGGGACCGAGCGACGGGAGCGCACCCCACUGCGGGGAUUCGAACCGCCGACCUUUCGAUCGGCAAGUCCUAGGCGCUGAGGCUUUAACUCACAGCGCCACUCGCGUCCCACGUUGCUGUUAAUAGGAUUAUAGUUAAAAGGCUGCCCUUUAGCUAUCUAUUAUACCUGCUCUGCUGUUGCCCUGAUAAAAAGAUGUUUGAGAUAAAGCCAAAACCUCCAGAUGUUGCAAUUUUUCGUUAAGAGUGAGUUGCACCAACUGCUUGAUCAUUUUGAUUGGCCAUUUCUGAAACUUUCCCAGCUCUAGAAUAGCCUUUUGAGAUAUGGGCAAAACUUUAUCCAGCAUAGAGAUGCAAAAAUGGCCCAUUUUAUUUUGAAGAAAGGAAGUAUGUUCUCUACCUCAACUCCCCAACCCCUUUGUUUCUGGGGAUCUUCCUAAAAGAAGCUCAACAACUUUCAGGGUGUCCUGGUUUUUGCAGUACCAUCCCUGCACAAUUUAAACCGUUUCUGAAAAGACUCAUCUUUUCUCAGCUACUUUUAUGGAGUGAUUCUGGAUGGAGUUUCAUUUGGGUACAAAACCUAUAGUGUGUUUUUUAAACAACAAGAACCAAGUUGUAUUAUGUUUUCUUUGUUACACUAGGCCAAAUGUGGUUUAUGGACUGGCUAAUUUAAGUAUUUUCAAAGUAGCAAAAUUGGUGUCUUGAAAUUACAGCUGCUGUGGUCUAGACAACUUUAAGUUAAGGGAAUCAUAGGUCUGAGCCCUGCUUGUUUUGAAAAACUUUCAUUAGCUGGCUAGUUGGCUGCAGGGGCAAAGCCAUCUUAAAUAGGGCUGCCAUAUGUCUGGACAUUACCGGGAUUUCAAAGGCGGAAUUGAAGUCCAGGGGGAAUUUCCGAAAGGCGGUGCUUUGUCCUGGAUCUGAGGCAAGCAUGGGUUACUUUUUGAAAUAUUGCUUGCUCAUUCUGCCUAGUGAUUGGCUGAAGUAAGGACUCUCCGUACCUUUCAGCUGCACCCCUUACCUGCACAUACUGCUACCUGAGACUGCCGGCAAAGAUUCAGCCCCAGCUAAUGUUUCCAGUGGGCAGGGAUGACAGCUGCUGUAGUCCAUCGGCUGCUGGAAGUUCACUGGUUCCUCGUCAUCCAGGAGAGAGUGCUUCAGUGUCCUCAAGACACAGCACACGGCGGUGGCAAAUACAUUUCUCACAGAGCCAUACUAAUGAAUAUUGCCUUUCCUGUUUUCCAGGUUAGAAGCGGCUACUCAGGUCAGUGGCACUUCACGAGAAAAAGCAUUAUUUAAAAGAAUCCCUGCACAAAAGGAUUUGCAAAAGAGAGGACGCGUCGAAUGUAGAGUUGGAAAUGAUCUCAAGAGUCUCUUCUAAACCUCUGCAAUGCAGGAAUCUCAACUAUAAAAAAGGUAAAGGACCCCUGGACGGUUCAGUCCAGUAAAAGGCAGCUACGAGGUUGCGGCACUCAUCUCGCUUCUUCUUCCUCUUCUUUUUUAAAGAAAUUAUUAUUUAUAUGCCGCCCAUCUUGCUGUGUUUCCCCAACCACUCUGGGCGGCUCCCAACAAAAUAUUAAAAACACGAGAAACCAUCAAACAUUAAAAACUUGCCUAAACAGGGCUCCCUUCAGAUGUCUUCUAAAAGUCAGAUAGUUGUUUAUUUCCUCGACAUCUGAUGGGAGGGCGUUCCACAGGGCAGCUGCCACUACCGAGAAGGCCCUCUGCCUGGUUCCCUGUAACCUCACCUCGUAGUGAGGGAACCACCAGAAGGACCUUGGAGCUGGACCUCUGUGGGUGGGGGUAGAGCUGAACGAUGGGGGUGGAGAUGCUCCUUCAGAUAUACUGGGCCGUUCACGGGGCAGUGCUGGAUUAAAGCCUGUGGAGGCCCCUUGGUGGUCAAAAUCUGGGCGGGGGGCAGGCCUUGUGCGCAUCCUGGAAUAACAUUGAACUAAGAAAGCUUGACUGUCAUUUUCUUUCAAGAUCAAAUCAAUAUUAUUUUGAUCCACUGCUGUGGAACCCCUAAAAAGUGUGGGGCCCAAAGGCCAGUGCCUCCUCUGCCUAUUUGGUAAUCCAGCCCGGCCCAGGAGAGAGAAGAAACAGAAGUUGAGGGACACAUCCUGAUGUGCUGCAGCUGUUCCCCACAAUGAAAUGGAAGGCUCAACAUUUGUCAGGCACUUUCGGAUGCUCAGCAGCCCUGUGUGGUUACAACAACCCUGUAAAGUAGGCUGGUGCUAUGUGCUCCCCAAAUUGCAGCUGAAUCCCUCGCAGAUUGGCACCCAACCUCUGCUUAAAAGCCUCCAAGGAAGGAGAGUCCACCACCAUCCCAGAGAGUCUUAACCAUCAGAAAGUUCUUCCGAAUCUCCUCUCCUGCCCUCCCCUCUGGAGUAGCAGAAAUCAAGCUUGCUCCCUCCUGUAGCCCUCAGAUAUUGGAAGAUGGCUCUCCUCUCAGUCUCCUCUUCUCCAGGCUAAAAAUACCUAGCUGCCUCAACCGUUCCUCAUGAGGCUUGGUUUCCAACUGCCUUAACAGUUCCUCAUGAGGCUUGGUUCCAGCUGCCUCAACCGUUCCUCAUCAGGCUUGGUUUCCA